ACUAACGAGUAUUUUUGCAACACGUCGCUGUCACCACACACACGGUCCGAGUUUGGCAAAAAAAACUUUCCCGGUACAGUUUGCUUGAAUUAAAACAAGAAGAUCGGAAUUGUUAGGCGAUGGCCUCGGUUCAAUUGAGAAUGGAGCUCACGGCAAGUAGGAGGCACCAGCAGAUAAAUUGCAGAUUCCGGAAGAUUGGUAGGACGUUUAGUGGACUAAUACCGGAAUCGAUAAUGUAGAGAUCACAUCAACGGAAAAUUCGUCAACUGGUUGCGAAAAUGUAGUAAUUUUCGGGCGACGUGGUACUGGCAAAACUGAAUUUCUGCUCUACAAAUUUUCCUUGGAAGGAAUCCAACUGAAUGAAGCCGGAUCGUUAUGUGAUGGUCUCUGUUCCAGCGGUAGUGGAGCUGACGUAACGCUGAACCAACUCUAGACGACUUCUCAGCCACCAUAUAAUAACCAGGAGUAGCAGCAAAAGGAGAAUUUCGAUUUUAUAAAACGUGCGGAAUUUCAAACAGUGUAGUACAAGGUGUAGACUAAUUUUGUGAUAAUAAACGAUUA